rnacentral:lncRNA from 1 species
UUCUGGAAGGACUGAAGUGGGAGGGUGACACCAUCAGAGGUGUAUUUGUGGAGGGAGCCGUCCACUCGAGCCAGGGAUGCAAUCAGAGGAGAAGCCAAGAGGAUGAGAGGAGAAGGAGGAAGUGUCUGACACCUGCGAGGAGGCCACUGUAGUCAUCCAGAACCACCACUAAGAUACAUCUGUGCUGAAGGCCUCAGAUCGGCACUUCUCUGAAGAACGUUCCAGAAAAGAGUGGAAAACAUUGUUUUAGGUGGGCCCCUCUUGGAGGCUCAGGAGGCAUGCUAGCAUAGUAAAGGCUCUGAUAAGUCCUGCCGCAAGGAGAUUUUCUCAAGUUUGUUUGCUCACGGAAGUCCUUUGGGCAGAACACCCACCAGCAUCCUACAGUCUCUGCUCUGCCAUCCAUGAUGAACGGUCUGCCUACAGAACGGUCUGUGACUUUCUCUUGGUGGCUGUUGGGCUGGGAGGACCCAGACAAGAUCAGUCCCAGUUAUAUCCACCGAAUACAGAUCCACGGAUGUCCCCAGGUUGGUGGCUGCGUCUUUGCCCCAGCCUCAGUCCAUUAGAAAGUGAUCUUUGCAGCUGGAACUACUGACAUUAGCUCCAGUUCCUCCAGGUGUUAUUUCAUUCCUGGAUGCCUGAAAAUCCCUGAAAGUGCUGCUUGAGCCAAAUUCAGAAGACAUGAUAAACCAGGUUAAUUUUAGGGCCCAUGACAAUAAGCAGGUGUCCUCUCAGUGGGUUGGUUGGAUAAAUGAGUUAAUUUUGUCCAAGCUCCAAACAUCUUGGGGACUUUGGUGCUGAGGGUGCACAUAUGUGUUGGGGGGUGGGUAGGGGAAAUAGUUCCUGCAUAGAACUGCUCCAGGGGGUUUGUGGAGACCUGACAAAGGACAGCUGCAUACUCAGCACUGCAAUUACUGGUGGUAAAAUGGUCCGACGGUAGAUCCCAGUGAGGGAGCUUGGCGGGUGGGCUUGGCAUUCUUUAGAAAACCCCACAUCAGCAGCUUUGCUGGUGGGAGUGGGGGUGAUUGGGGACCUUGGUGCCUUAUCCUGAGGCUGGGCAAGGCAGUCCAGGGCAGUGGAGGGUGGGACAGAGGGGAAGGUGUUUUUCAGAGUGAUCCCAGCAAGGGCAGAGACAAGAAUGGGGGUUUUAGGCAGACCACAUAGGUCGUUGGGGGAACCUCAGCUGUGCUCUGAAGGGACUGUGUGAUGUUGGGGGGCUCCUUUGGACUCUCUGAGCCUCAAUUUCCUCAUCUGCAAAUGGAGGCAAUAAUCUCUCUCUCUCUUUCAGAAUAAUGAAUGGAAUAACUUGGGCUAAGUGCCUAGAAAUAUCUGGCACAUAAUAUGUGCUCUUGUGAAUACCAAUUCUCCCCCAUUUCUUUGGAUAAGCUCAGAGACUGGCAGAGAGGUGUUUUUUUUUUUUUUAACUUUUAAUUGAAGUGUAACAUACACAUAGAAAAGUGCAUACAGCUUUUUUUUUUUUUUAAUUUACAAUUUAUUUCAACUCUUCCAGGGCUGGGAAUGUUACAAAACCUUAAACCAAU